ACAUGUCCUUUUGUAUAUUAAAUAUAAGGUCUAACCUGCCCAAUGAUGUUAAAUUCAAUGGCCGCGGUAUAUUAACUGUGCUAAGGUAGCAUAAUCACUUGUCUUUUAAUUAAAGGCUAGAAUGAAUGGUUGGACAAGGUAUAAACUUUCUUUAAUUUAAUUUAUGAACUUAAUUUUUAAGUUAAAAAGCUUAAAUUUUUUUGGGGGACGAGAAGACCCUAUAGAUCUUUAUAUUUAUAAUUUUUAUAUAUUUUAGAGUAUAAAUUAUUAUAAUUAUUAUAUUUAUUUGGUUGGGGUGAUUAUAAAAUUUAAUUAACUUUUAUUGUUGAUUAUUUCAUUAAUUAAUGUUUUUUUGAUCCAAUUAUAUUGAUUAUAAGUUUAAGUUACCUUAGGGAUAACAGCGUAAUUUCUUCGAAGAGCUCAUAUCGAUGAAGAAGUUUGCGACCUCGAUGUUGGAUUAAAAUAAGUUUUAGAUGUAGGAGUUUAAUAACUAGGUCUGUUCGACCUUUAAUUUUUUACAUGAUCUGAG
rnacentral:rRNA from 1 species